GAUGUAGUGGUAAGCAAUUAAUUCUGGGGGACUCCCUGCCUGUUGACAUGUGUGGCUCCUGCCCUGAGCAGCUCCCCUUGCUUAGAAGGCUCCUAUCCUCCUUUUCAGUAGACAAACUAAUUUGUUUUAGACUCAGUUCCCUAGGGACAAAGGUGACUCCUUCAGCCAAGGGUCUAAUUUUGGUGAAUUGUCUUGCAAGGUAAGGAGAAGAGAGACAGAGAAAAUAUUAGCAGUGGCUUACCCUUGUACAGAGCUUCCUACACCCAAGCAUGAUUCAGAUGCAUGCCCAUACUCCAGGGAGGUAUCAUUACUGUUCCUACUUUGGAAGUGGGGAUACCAAGGUACAGAGGGGCUACUCAGAUGGCCCACGGUCACACAGCCCAAAGUGGCAGAGCAGCAUUCAAAUCCAGGCAGUGCUGCUCUAAGUGUGUUGUCCUUAUCAUGGUUCUGCACAGCUCUCCACCAGGUACCUGAGAGCAGAUGGGAGUGUGCUGGAAUUGGACAGACAGUCCAGGGCCGGGUCAUCUUCAUGAUGUGUGCACCCUCAGGGCCACUGAGGGAUAUGUUCGGGAGGCUGAUGGAGCAGAGCGAGAGGGGCCACAGCAAAAUGGUUAAGAACUUUGACUCUUCAUUCAAGCCAACUGAGUUUAAACCCCAC
ensembl:lncRNA